rnacentral:lncRNA from 1 species
GAUGAUGCCAAAAAAUCGUACCUGGCAUAUCACGAACUUGUUGCUUGAAUACCGAGCCCGAGGACCGAGUAAGAGCACGAACAAAGGCUUUCGGUACCUGAAACAAAGGCAACGAGGUGUGUGCUCGUCGCCCCUCCGAUGCUUAAGUCAGAGAGGGAAAUUGUGUAAAAGUAUGUGCUGUAAUUGUAUUGUAAAGACAUACCUGAAUAAUGGAGCUAAGUCCUGUAUUUAUAGAUGUCAGUGAUUGAGUUGUAUCAGGAUUCAACCACCUGUAAUCUUUAUCUUAUACAGUGAUUGAGUUAUAUCACAAUUACCACUUUAGGUUUGGCAUGAAUUGUAAUACGUUUAGUAUUUAGAUAAUGAUAAACAGUUGAGUCAUAGGAGCACUAAAACUCGCAAGAGACUCGAAAAGAGGACAAUAUUUUGGCAUGUGGACCCGACCUUAGUAGGACCCGAUUAUUAGGUCCGACCUAUGAGAGGCCCCACCACAUUUUAAAGGAUAUUUGGAGAUGAGAGUGGUCGAGGUAUUUACCUCGGGCAAUGCUUGAAAGUUCGGGGUCGGGCUAUAAUUUUCAUACACAUCAUAGGCCCCUGUGCAUCCAUGUCAGGAGCUCGUGUGCAAUGUGGGAGUUUCUGGCAUGAGAUGCAUAAGUAUAUUAAGUUCAAGAAUAGGCAUGCUCAUGUCAAGUCGAUAGGCCCCCGAGCUCAACGUGAUACAACCAUCCCGAGCUCUUGUGUUUAGGAUUUGACAAUGGAUUGAACUCGAGGAUAGGCCCCCGAGCUCAACGUGAUACAACCAUCCCGAGCUCUUGUGUUUAGGAUUUGACAAUGGAUUGAACUCGAGGAUAGGCCCCCGAGCUCAACGUGAUACAACCAUCCCGAGCUCUUGUGUUUAGGAUUUGACAAUGGAUUGAACUCGAGGAUAGGCCCCCGAGCUCAACGUGAUACAACCAUCCCGAGCUCUUGUGUUUAGGAUUUGACAAUGGAUUGAACUCGAGGAUAGGCCCCCGAGCUCAACGUGAUACAACCAUCCCGAGCUCUUGUGUUUAGGAUUUGACAAUGGAUUGAACUCGAGGAUAGGCCCCCGAGCUCAACGUGAUGCAACCAUCCCGAGCUCUUGUGGCUGGGAUUUGAAAAAAGGAAUUGAGCUCGAAGAUAGGCAUGAGCCCAAUGUGAAGCAAUUAUCCCGAGCCUUUCUGACUGGGAGUAGACAAUGUGUUGAGCUCGAGGACAGGCCCCCGAGCCCAAUGUGAAAUAAUAUCUCGAGCUGUACUCCAAUGAAUUUAAUAAUAGGUUGAGCCUGACAAGCUCGGGACAGACUCGUGGUCGGGUUUAUUACUUUGAUUCAUUGCGAGACUUAGGGGUGCUUAUACGGGGCAAAGCUUAGAGGUGCUUGUGCAGGACAAGACUCUAAUGUGCCUGCUCAUGGCAGGGCUUUAGUGCUUGCGCGGAGCAAGGCUUUGAUGGUGCCUGCUCGGGGCAGGGCUUUGAUAUGCCUGCUCGUGACAGGGCUUGGUGCUUGCGCGGGGCAAGGCUUUAAUGUGCCUACUCGUGAUAGAGCUUUGAUGUGCCUACUCGUGGUAGAGCUUUGAUGCUUGCGUGGGGCAAGGCUUUGAUGUGCCUACUCGUGGUAGGGCUUUGAUGUGUCUACUUGUGACAGAGCUUUGAUGUGCCUGCUCGUGACAGGGCUUUGGUGCUUGCACGGGGCAAGGCUUUGAUGUGCCUACUCGUGGUAGGACUUUGAUGUGCCUGCUCGUGACAGGCCUUUGAUGUGCCUGCUCGAGACAGGCCUUUGGUGCUUGCACGGGGCAAGGCUUUGAUGUGCCUACUCGUGGUAGGGCUUUGAUGUGCCUACUUGUCACAGGGCUUUGGUGCUUGCGCGGGGCAAGGCUUUGAUGUGCCUACUCGUGGUAGGGCUUUGAUGUGCCUGCUCGUGACAAGGCUUUGGUGCUUGCACGGGGUAAGACUUUGAUGUGCCUACUCGUGGUAGGGCUUUGAUGUGCCUGCUUGUCACAGGGCUUUGGUGCUUGCGCGGGGCAAGGCUUAGGUGUUUGCUCGUAACAAAAAUUUUGAUUUCACCAAUAUUGGCUGGGCAUUCGAUCGAGCACUUAAUGUUUGUGAACCAAAAGUUAUUGUAAUUCAUAACCAAAUAAUCAUAGCAUAAGCACGAGUAUUGAUAACACCAAAAUAUAUGCUUUUCAAGGAUUAAAACAUAGAUAAUGUAAUGUAUGUUCUAUGACAUGUGUCUUUUAAAGAUCCAUAAUAUUUAUUUUGGGAUGUACGCAUGAGCUACUAUUUUAGUCUCAACUAAUCAUGACGAUUUGCUCCACAUUAGUAACAGUGUAAAAGAUAUAGGCAAGUAGUGGUUUCAUAAUAUUUUCAAUGCAUAGCCUUUGUUUAUUCAAGAAUAAAAUCAUUAAAAGCUCCAACACCUAUUUAUCAUAACAAAUCAAUUGCUCAGGUGCAUUCAUUAGUUUAGUAUUACAAAGUUUCCAUUUUCACAAUGAUGAUUAAUUCUUGGAGCUAUAGUUCUUCAGGUGCUGUAAGACUUAGCAAAAUUAUACAGGUGUCCUGAAUUGAUGUCUAAGCAAAAUUUCCACAUGAAAUUUAGAAAUUGACAUUUUUCUUUUUGUUAAUUAUCUUCAACAUGAGUACAAAGAAUUUUAUUUGAAGGUAAGCUUCGUUUUUAUAUUUUUAUAAUUAAGUGCGUGCAUUUCCAUAGACUAGGUUAAACUACAUUAAAUCCAUAUCAAGACAUAAAUGGCAUGCUAUCAAAAGAUGAACAUGAUAAGAAAACGAAAAGGCUAGCCUGGUGACAUAUCCAUUGUUGAAUUGGUUGGGGAAUAUAAAAUUCACAACAGAAUAAAAAAAAUGAAUACCUUUGUUAGGUGAAAAUAUACCUGGGUUUAGAGCUAGGUGUUGUGUAUCUGCAUCAUCUUCAAUAUCGAGGCCCCCAGUAGCAAUGAACAAAUAUUUUCUCGGUGCUGAUAAAUUUCCAAUCAUAAAUGGUUCCAUGGACAUGGAAUGUAAAUUGAAAUUUCUAAUUCCCCAAUGGAUUGCUUCUGGCCUUCUCCCACAUGAUUUAAAAUUUAAAAUAGAUGAUAGCUUAAAGGGAACCAGUAAAACAUUGGGCCCAAUAAUCAGUUUGUGAAACCCAAAUAAGAAUUAUUAGCAGUAAGUUAACAUGUCCAAAGUGCCUGAUGAAGCUAGAUGUAGUGAAACCCAAUAAAUGUUUAGCCCAAGUCCUUUUAACAUUAAAGUAAAAUAAAAAGAGGCCUUCCCAUGAAUCCAUGACUUUACAUUGGGCCCAAAAGGAAUAAAUAGGACGAGUGCCAAUAAAAUGACUUUGAGAAGUUAUGUGGUCCGAUCAAAAUUAAUCCUGUUGAAAAAUUUCCAUGAACCUUGGGCCCAAGUCUGCUAAAGCCUAAUAAUAAAACCUAAAGUAAAUUCUUUCAAUCCCUCAAAACUAGAUUGCAAGUUAGGCCCAAGUGACCUAUGGAUAUUUUGUCCCAGCCAAAUAGACCCAAAUAAAACAAGCAAAAUUUGGAGACAAAUCCAUCUGAAAGAAGGACAAUUAGCUGCAAAAGAUUGCGUGUGCCAGGGAAAAAGUAACCUAACCAUUAAUGCUUGAAGCAGUGAAGGACCUCGACCAGCCCAUGAAUAAGCAAUCGAGUCGGUCUAAAAGGAGGAGAGCAGAUUUACGUGGCUGUAGGUUUUACGGCAAUUUAGACGGCUAAAAAAGAUGGCUGUCGACAGAGGUGGAGCUACCAUAUUUCAUCAAAUGAAUUGCCACGUCUCAAAUUAUUUUUGAGGACUUAUCACGAUUAUCGAAAUCCCACCAAAGAAAUCCCAAUUAUGAAGUACGAGUCGUUUAUCACAUACAAAACACACAUACACGAACAAAUUUAUACAUACCCACGCACGGGGAGAGAAGCCGGCGGCUGGAAUUAGAAAGACAUAGAAGAAUUGAGCUGCCUAUUGCUGGAAUCAAUCAAUAUAUACACACUUUGGCAGCGGGAGCUUUGAGGAACAUAUAUAUUUUACACAAACAAGGUUGCCGGUUGUUGUUUUUAUAUAGAUACUCCCACCAAAAAGACAACAGCCUUGGAGAGAAUUGUGGCUAUUUGGAAGACGCUAAACAUUAGGGCUGGAGUUAAUUAUGAAUUGAAGUGGAUUGAGGGGGAUUUUUGUCAUUCCAGUAGCAUCUUUUCCUUGCUUUUGACAGAGAAACUCAUCGUAAGAUGAAUUUUUCCAGUGGCGUUGUUAUGCAACGAAGAUGAUUGAGUUUGCACAAGAAUUUUGGAGGCGGAGAUGAAUGAUUCCCAAGCGUCGAUCAGAAUAAACUAACGUGGGCAAUCGCGUAGGUGAACAGCCAUUGUUGUGGAAAAUAUCCCGAUGAAUUAUGAAUUUUAUUGAUGUUUACUGAGUAAUUUUUCUUGAUUCUGGAUUUUGGAAACAGGAAGAGAACUGGGUUUUCGAAUUUGACCUUAUUUCAAUUCGAUAUUUACGUCUUUUUGUCUAUGUUGGACUUUGAAACCAUUCAAAAAGCAGAAACAUCCUCCCCGAGAUCAUUGGUUGAGAAACUGCUCGGAAUCAUUAUCCUUCCAGUGACUUUUUAAAUGUGGUGAGCACAUGGUUAAUGUAUCGCUUCCCACAGACGGCGCCAAUGAUGAUGCCAAAAAAUCGUACCUGGCAUAUCACGAACUUGUUGCUUGAAUACCGAGCCCGAGGACCGAGUAAGAGCACGAACAAAGGCUUCCGGUACCUGAAACAAAGGCAACGAGGUGUGUGCUCGUCGCCCCUCCGAUGCUUAAGUCAGAGAGGGAAAUUGUGUAAAAGUAUGUGCUGUAAUUGUAUUGUAAAGACAUACCUGAAUAAUGGAGCUGAGUCCUGUAUUUAUAGAUGUCAGUGGUUGAGUUGUAUCAGGAUUCAACCACCUGUAAUCUUUAUCUUGUACAGUGAUUGAGUUAUAUCACAAUUACCACUUUAGGUUUGGCAUGAAUUGUAAUACGUUUAGUAUUUAGAUAAUGAUAAACAGUUGAGUCAUAGGAGCACUAAAACUCGCAAGAGACUCGAGAAGAG